rnacentral:rRNA from 1 species
AUGCUGGAAUGCUACUAGGCCGAAAACUCCGGUGCCUUAGGAUUGGUCUGCGGUCUAUCAGGCAGUAGUGGGUGUAAUGGACCCACUAGCCCGUGACGGAUAUGGGCCUUGAGAGAGGGAGCCCAGAGAUGGACUCUGAGACAUGAGUCCAGGCCCUACGGGGCGCAGCAGUCGCGAAAACUUCGCAAUGGGGGAAACCCCGACGAGGGAAUUCCAAGUGCCAGCACUUUGUGUUGGCUGUUCUUCUGUCUAAAAAACAGGAGAAGUAAGGGGCGGGUAAGACGGGUGCCAGCCGCCGCGGUAAUACCCGCGCCCCAAGUGGUGGUCGAUAUUAUUGAGCCUAAAACGUCCGUAGCCGGUCUUCUAAAUCCUUGGGUAAAUCGGGCAGCUCAACUGUCCGAAUUCCGGGGAGACUGGGAGACUUGGGACCGGGAGAGGUCAGAGGUGCUUCUGGGGUAGGGGUAAAAUCCUGUAAUCCUGGAAGGACCACCGGUGGCGAAGGCGCCUGACUAGAACGGAUCCGACGGUGAGGGACGAAGCCCUGGGGCGCAAACGGGAUUAGAUACCCCGGUAGUCCAGGGUGUAAACGCUGCGGGCUUGGUGUUGGGGGUCCUUAGUGGGCGCCCAGUGC